rnacentral:rRNA from 1 species
GACGAACGCUGGCGGCGUGCCUAAUACAUGCAAGUCGAGCGGACGGAUGGGAGCUUGCUCCCAGACCGUCAGCGGCGGACGGGUGAGUAACACGUGGGCAACCUGCCUGUAAGACUGGGAUAACUCCGGGAAACCGGGGCUAAUACCGGAUAACUCUUUCCCUCACAUGAGGGAAAGCUGAAAGAUGGCAUCUCGCUAUCACUUACAGAUGGGCCCGCGGCGCAUUAGCUAGUUGGUGAGGUAACGGCUCACCAAGGCGACGAUGCAUAGCCGACCUGAGAGGGUGAUCGGCCACACUGGGACUGAGACACGGCCCAGACUCCUACGGGAGGCAGCAGUAGGGAAUCUUCCGCAAUGGACGAAAGUCUGACGGAGCAACGCCGCGUGAGUGAUGAAGGUUUUCGGAUCGUAAAACUCUGUUGUCAGGGAAGAACAAGUACCGGAGUAACUGCCGGUACCUUGACGGUACCUGACCAGAAAGCCACGGCUAACUACGUG